CUCUCGCUCCCAUCUGCUGGGCGUCGCGCGAGCCGGUGGCCUGGGACGAGUCAAGCACGCGUCUCCCCAGAUCACCUCGGCUUCUCCCCUGACGUGACCUGGGGCUCCGUGGCCCACCCUGCCGGACCCCAGCGCAAACACCCUCUUGGCUGCCAUUUUCCUCUUCCCCAGCAAGAGAAGGAGCGCCCCCUGCUGGGCUCUUUGCCAUUCUGGAUUUGUGGUUCCUAUCCCUGUUCCUUCCAAAUAAAUCCCACCCCACCGCCCUCUCCUGCUGAGCAGCCGCCCGAUAACAGGGAAAAAACCAACCCUGUAUCAACAGCCUCUGUGAAAGAGAGAGGCGAGUUUUCUUUCCUGGGACAAGUUUGAUCUUGACAAUUUAAUGGCGUCUAAUGAUGAUUUCCAUUUAAAUUGUUAUUCUUUCCCUGGUUCGGUUCUGCCUUGUUCCGAAUGUGUUUGGGGAACGCUUUCCCUGCUCCUGGAACACUCCAGAGCCGUCUUAUCUCAGGGCCCAGCCGUAUUCCCAGUGUGGCCCCACAAGAGCUGGUCGUGCUGUCUGGGCCAUGCAGGCGUUUCGGUCUCUCUCCUCCAGGGACCUCUCCUUGCACGUUAGGAAGGAAGAUUUUUAUUGCUCUCUUUCGUUUUCAUCUGAUUCAAAUUCUUUCUGAGCCUCCCCCCAAUCCCACCCUGAGAGACGUCCUUUACGACAAAGAAUUUCUUUUAAAAAAAUCAAAAUAAAGUGUCUUUACUGGGCCUGGAUCCCAAAGAGAUCCUAAAGGAGGGAUAGGACCCAGCCGCACUCUUUAUAGUGGUCAAAAACUGAAACUGAGUGGCUGCCCAUCAGUGGGAGAAGGGCUGAGUAAGUGAUGGGAUAUGAAUGUUAUGGAAUAUUACUGUUCUAUAAAAAAUGAUCCCCAGAAUGAUCUCAGAGAGGCCUGGAGAGACUUAUAGGAACUGAUGCUGAGGGAAAUGAGCAGAACCAGGAGAUCAUUGUACACGGCAACAAGAAAAUUAUACGAUGAUCAAUUCUGAUGGACAUGGCUCUCUUCAACAAUAAGAUGAUUCAGGCCAGUUCCAAUGAUCUUGUGAUGGAGAGAAACAUCUGCACCCAGAGAGGACUGUGGGAACUGAGGGUGGUUGACAACCCAGUAUUUUCGCCUUUUUUGUGUUCUGCUUUUUCUUUUUUUUCUUUUUGAUUUUUCUUGAGCAGCACGAUAAUUAUGGAAAUAUGUAUAGAAGAACUGCACCUGUUUAAGUUGUAUUGGAUGACCAACCAUUUAGGGGUGAGGGUGGAGAGGAGAGAAAUUUGGAACACAAAGUUUUGCAAAGGUAAGUGCAUCUAUUUUGAAAAUAACAAGCUAUUUUUUAAAAAGUCAAAAUAAAAAAAGGAAAAAGCGAAAAACAAUUCACAAAAACCAGUGAAGACCGGUUAAAUUAUGUGCAGCAUUCCCCAGCUGGGGCCUCUGACCUCCACAGGAGUCAGGGGCGGUUCAUUCCUUUUUAUACAUUUUCCAAUCAUCCAUUUUAUUAUUUUGGGGGCUGUUGGUUCCAUUGACAUUGUGACAGUCGCUGUUUAUAUAAUAUAUUGUUCUGGCUCUAUUGACUUCACUUGGCCUCAGCUGGGCAGCUAGACGGCACAAUGCAGGAAGACCCGAGUUCCCAUCAUCCCUCAGACACUUCCUAGCUGUGAGGCCCUAAGUAGGUCACUCCCUCUACUCUCAGCCUGUUUUCUCAUCUCCAAAAUGGGGGUAAUACCACUUGCUUCCCAGGGUUGUCUUGAGGAAGAACUCCACAAAGGUUCCAGCUGCCUAGAGAAGCCGCUGGGCUCUGUUCCCGGUGUCUGUUCCCAUCGGCUUUCCCAGAAUCCUCUGCAUCCAUCUUCCACAUCUUUUUUAUGGCACAAUAACAUUCUGCCACAUUGCGUCCCACCAUUCCCCUUCAACAACAGGGCUGAGGGGGAGCCCAGUGGCACAAGUCACAGCUUGGGGAGCAAAGGGAUUGGCCAGCAGGUCUGAGAAAUGAUGGGGGGGGGGGGUAGGAGGCUUCAGAGAGACCCGAGGAGACUCAUCCACAUGGAGGCGAGGGAGCGGGACCCGGGGCAGCACAAGCCGCCACAAAAGCCCCGCCAAGGCCACAGCUAGGAAAGGACGUGGGAACCGGGGCACGGGGGAGCCAGCCCCGGCCAGAAAAAGGAGAAUCAGCUAAUCCCAAGCAGACAGGGCAAAAUGCACAGCAGACCCUGCUCCAAGAAGUGGGAGAAGACACCCCCGGCGGGUGAGUGCUUGCAGACAUUUUUAACGUAUCUCUCAGUUAUGCCCUUUUCCUUUUUUUCUCCCUGAUUUUUUUGUCUUUUAAAAAAAUGUUAUUUAGGGCAGCUAGGGGGCGCAGUAGAUGGGGCAGCGGCCCUGAGGUCAGGAGGACCUGAGUUCAAAUCUGCUCUUAGACACUUAACACUUCCUGGCUGGGUGACCCUGGGCAAGUCGCUUAACCUCAAUUGCCUUAGCAAAAAAAAAAAAAAAAGAUAUUUGUACAUGAGAACCCAUCGAGAAAGAAAAAGGGAGGAAAUUACAAUGAUGUUAAAAAAAUUUUUCUUUAAACUGAUCGGCCACCCAGCUAAGCUGAGUAUUUUUUUCCACGGAAGAAGACGGACAUUUAGUGAAACAGAGGAAUUCCAUCUGUUUCUAAGGAAAAAACCAGACUUAAACAAAAAAUUGGAUUUCCAACAACAGGAAUCCAGAGAAGCAGAAAAAGGAGAAACUAGACAACAUAGUAAAGUAAGAGAAUACAGUUCAACCCAACUCCUCCUCCAACUACUUCAACAAAGAUGAGAAAUUGAAGGAUACACUGCAAGACUCAAGUGUUUCAUUCAAGUCCUCUAUCUUCAGAGUCCAUGUUCUUUUCACUUGCCAUUGUGCUUCCCAUGGUCAGGCACACUGUAACGUGCCCUUGACUCCUGUGCCUCCAAAUCCUGUAUUUGGAGUGACCAAAUGUCUCCUCCCCAACCCACUCACAAAAAAAAAAAAAAAAAAAAAAAAAAAAAAAAAAAAAGAGAGAGAGCACAGGACCUGGAGUCAAGAAGAACUGAAUUCAAAUGUAGCCUCACAUCCUGCCUAGCCCUGGACAAGUCAUUUUACCUUUGCCAAAGUGGAUCCACUGGAUCCACUAGGGGAGAUCUCUGCCAAGAAAAGGCCAAAUGGGGACAACAAGGGCUGGACAAGGCUGUCACAACUGAGCAACAACCAGAGAGAAGUUUUCCUGAUGCCAGGACCGGCCUUCUAGCCACUGUGCCACCCAAAAUGCCCUUAUUAAUAUGCCUAUUAGCAACCUUUGUGUUAUAUAUGUUUAUUUUAAUAUGUGCCUAUUAACACUUUUAUGUUAUAUAUUAUGUGUUCAUUUUAAUAUGUGCCUAUUAACAAUAAAAAAUAAAAUAAAAUAAAAUAAAAUAAACUGAUCGCCCACCCCAAGGCCCGGCCAGCUCCCAGGGGCUCAGGACGAGAGAGGCUCCUGCCGGGGAGCGGCCAAAUGUCACAAGAGCUUUUGUUGUUCUUGUCCAGCCAGGGUUCGAGGAAGUAAGAGGGAGAGGACUUUCCAUUAACUGGAAACAACAACGACAACAAUGUGGUUUCUUAAAUGUGGGUGGGGGUAAGGGAGAGAACCUAGAACUCCACAAUUUUAAAAACAAAUGUAAAAAAACCUGUUUUGAAUGUAACGGGAAAAUAUUAAAUAAAAGGGGGAAAAGAAA